UACAGAGGUCUCAAGCGUUGUUCGGAUUCAUUGGGCGUAAAGAGCUCGUAGGCGGUCUGUCGCGUCGGUCGUGAAAACCUGCAGCUUAACUGUGGGCUUGCGGUCGAUACGGGCAUGACUGGAGUUCGGCAGGGGAGACUGGAAUUCCUGGUGUAGCGGUGAAAUGCGCAGAUAUCAGGAGGAACACCGGUGGCGAAGGCAGGUCUCUGGGCUAACACUGACGCUCAUGCACGAAAGCGUGGGGAGCAAACAGG
rnacentral:rRNA from 1 species